rnacentral:lncRNA from 1 species
AAAAAUACACACAAAAAGCUACGCAUAGGACCCCCCCUCUUAGAUCGUCUUCUCCAAACACCCCUUUCCCCACUGCCUUUUCUUCAACAGCAAAACCAACAUACAUCAUAACAAGGAGCCGUUGCUGCUUCUCCAUCUUGCGACCCCUCGCCGGAAACAACCAGCGAGAACCACAGAGACCACUGUCGUUCACCUCCACUCCGAUCCCAUCGCCGGUGAACCAAACAACACCCUUCAUUUUCGCUUGCUUCAACCUAGAACGACCUGAAACCAGCAGUACAAAAAUGCACAUACACACUCACAAACAGAGAGAAAGGAAGCUGUUAUUCUUAUAAUUUUCUUUAGUUUUAGCUUCUGUCUCGCCGGCGACAGAUCCUACAUUCCCGUCAGCUUGUGUUUUCCGGCGAUUUCAGUCCAAAACAGCACCUGAACACAAAAGUUCCGGUCAGAGCUUGAGUCUCGUUGAGGUUUUCGUUUGAGGUUCGGUGGCGGUUUGGCUUUUGCUCCGAUUUUUCUAUUCGACUUUUAGUAGCGCAUCAGGUAUGAACCUAGAUUCGAAAUGUUGUAAUUGUUGAUCCGUUCCUCGGUAUCAUAAUGAUGUUGCCACCAUUUUUUGAUGCUCUGAUGCUUCCUUGGAUCGUUGAAACAUAUGUUCAUGAUUUGCUCAUUGAUGACUUCAAUUUGUGCUAAUUGUUUACUGCCUCUGUUUUGUUAAAGUGAGCUGCUUCAUGUUCAGCCAUAUGUGAAUGUGAUUUUUCUUAAUUAUGGAGUUUACUAUUGUUGUUCAUUUUCUACGCACUACUUCUGUUCCGAUUUUGACUCGAUUUUUGCGGGUUUUGUUGUUAUUGAGAUGUUGGUGAUAGUAAGUUUUUGACGAAAUUCUCUCUUGCCAAAAUUUUGUCCUUGACCCAUGAAGUUUUUUUUCAUUUCUGUCACUAUCCUUAUUGGCAAAAUUAUGUACUAAUCUUGUUCUUGACCAUUGAAUUGCUUAGCUAAUUUGCUAUACUUUUGUUCAUUUAGAUCUCCAUCGUAUAUAGAUACGUAGGUGAUGUUCCUCUGAGUUGGGAAGUUAUAGGUAUAAUAUUAAAGAAGUUCAUCACUUGUAAAAUACUUAUCAACAGAUCACUUUCACAUUUGUGUAUAAAUAUAGAUCAGGUAUAUGUUUGUGUAAUUCUGUAUCCAAACAAGCCUUCCAAUGAAUGUGUAACUUAGAAAAAUAAUUUUGAACAUGUUAGAAUUCAUGGGCGCAUUUAAUUCAUUAUCGUAAUUAUGCACACGUUCGUAUGACACGAGUGCGUUUUUUCUUUUAAAAAUAAUAAAUAUUCAUAGAAAAUCCUUUAGGGCCGUUUAAUAUACAAUCGUGAUUGUGUACACGUUCGCGUGACAUAAUUACGGUUCUAAAAUCAACUCGGAGUAUGUGUUCGCGCAACUUCUACCAAACCUUUUCUUAAUAAUAAAUUUAUUAGUAAUAUAGUAGCUUUUAAUUUAACUUAGUUCUUGUAGUUCGAGGUGUGCCAUCCAUAAUUUAAUCACAUAUGGACCUCGUAUUAAUUUCAUAAUUUAGAUAUAACAAAUAACCAAUAAUCGUAGUUUGCUUUAGGCACGUUUAAUAUAUUAUUAUAAUUGUGGACACGUUCGCGUGACAUGAUUUUUGACACGCCAAACAAAUGGGUAUAUGUAUGCAUAACUCAAUUCUUUAAUUACGAAUAAUUCAAGUGAUUAAAAAGCGGUAAAAAGGUAAAUGCACAUAGGUCCUAAAAAUGAGUAUUUAAAUGAUUUAAACUAAGUAUAAAUUGCUAAGCGACCGUGCUAGAACCACGGAACUCGGGAAUGCCUAACACCUUCUCCCGGGUUAACAGAAUUCCGUACUCGGAUUUCUGGUUCACGGAUUGUUAAACAGAGUCAAUCUUUUCUCGAUUCGGGAUUCAAUUGGUGACUUGGGACACCCUAAAUUAUCCCAAGUGGUGACUCUGAAUCUUUAAAUAAACAAAUCCUGUUCCGAUUGUCCUUUAAUUGGAAAAACUCCCUUAUAUUUAUACCCUCUCGGGGUGUAAAAAGGAGGUGUGACAGUAGCUACGCACGGACUCUCGUCACCUAGUGCGUACGUAGCCCCGCAUAUAGUAGCAAUUUAUUCAAUUAUUACACACCUAUGGGAACAAUUCUCUCUUACAAGGUUAGAAAGGAGACUUACCUCGCUCCAAAUGUACUUCUAAUACCAAGAACGAGCCCCAACCCUCAAUUCGGAGCCGAACGAUCCAAAACUAGUUAAAUGAGGUAGGAACUAGUCAAUAUAAGCUCACAAGAUCGUAUUCUAGCUAUUUAAGAAAUUUCCCAACCCUUAACACAAGUUUCCUCAAAUUUGACCCCGGGCCCACGUGCCCGGAUUCUGAAAUUUUUCGAAGAAAGUUGUUCUUAUAACCUAAGGAUCAAUAAUAUAUGAUUUUUAAUUUAUUUCAUAACAAAUUUCGUGGUUAAAUCUAACUUUUAUCAAACCCCUAGGUUUUCAUUCAAAUCCCAUGAUUUUCACUAAUUUUAGUAUGUUAAUCUACCCAAAACCCAAGUAUUCAUUAAGUAGGAAUAACUUACCUUACAAUGCUAAGUCGAAAUCCUCUCUUUGAAAGCUCCCAAAUCGCCCAAGUGUAGAAGUAAAAUAGAAUAAAUGGCCUAAGUCCCGUUUUAAAAGUUGUGCCCAGACCUCUGAUGUCGCAUUUGCGACACCAGGUCCGCAAAUGCGAAGUCUUAAUUGUGACAAUUUGUUUGCAAAUGCGAACUGGGCCUCCCUCUGCCUUGAUCGCAAUUGCGAUAGAGGGGUCGCAAAUGCGGACCCUGCUGGGUUCGCAAAUGCGACCACACCCCCCAGCCGGCCUCUUCGCAAAUACGAUGUUAUCCUUGCAAUUGCGAGUUCGCAAUUGCGAUCCAUACCUCGCAAUUACAAGAUCUGCAGCAACAGCAAAAACACCAGAAAACUGGUUCAACUCAUGCCUGAAACUCACCCGAGCCCUUGGGGCUCCACUCCGAACACUCACACAAGUCCAAGAAAAUCUUAAGAAAUUAAAUGAGUAUAUUUCAACUCAAACUUUUCCAAUCCCGAACCAAUCAUCCCCGCAGGUCGUAAAUUAAUUAAAGCAAGCGCGAAAAGUUUUAUUUAAGUGGACGAGGUUCUAAAAAGCAAAACGACCAGUCGGGGUCGUUACAAUGGACUUAAAUAUUGAGAUUUAAGAACUGCAAUUCAAUCAUUUGAAAAUGCAUAUAUGCACAAACAUAAAUGAAUUUUUCUUUCUAUGGUCUUUUUAGUUUCUAUAUUAUUGUAACUAAUUCAUUGAAGGCCUCCAAAAAAAUUCAUUAAAUGUGGAUAUGACUUUUCUUGAUCCUCAUUUUUACAUUAUUUUAUAUUCUUUUGGUUGAUGCAGGAUAUGCUUGAAGGAUGGAUGAAAAGGGAAAGAUGAGAAAAUAAAAACAUGCAACAUGUUGGGUUGUUGAAUGCAAUGGUUUAAGUCUAAAAGAACUACUUCCUUUAUCCCAAUUGAUUGACACUAUUCCUAAUUGAGGAGUCAAAACUAUUUUUCUGACAAUUUUAUCAAAUAAUUUCUAA